UACGUAGGGUGCAAGCGUUGUCCAGAAUUAUUGGGCGUAAAGAGCUCGUAGGCGGUUUGUCGCGUCUGCUGUGAAAUCCCGAGGCUCAACCUCGGGCCUGCAGUGGGUACGGGCAGACUAGAGUGCGGUAGGGGAGAUUGGAAUUCCUGGUGUAGCGGUGGAAUGCGCAGAUAUCAGGAGGAACACCGAUGGCGAAGGCAGAUCUCUGGGCCGUAACUGACGCUGAGGAGCGAAAGCGUGGGGAGCGAACAGG
rnacentral:rRNA from 1 species